UGGCAUCCCGACAAGCGUAUCUGCAGUCGAGCGGACAGAUGGGAGCUUGCUCCCUGAUGUUAGCGGCGGACGGGUGAGUAACACGUGGGUAACCUGCCUGUAAGACUGGGAUAACUCCGGGAAACCGGGGCUAAUACCGGAUGGUUGUUUGAACCGCAUGGUUCAGACAUAAAAGGUGGCUUCGGCUACCACUUACAGAUGGACCCGCGGCGCAUUAGCUAGUUGGUGAGGUAACGGCUCACCAAGGCGACGAUGCGUAGCCGACCUGAGAGGGUGAUCGGCCACACUGGGACUGAGACACGGCCCAGACUCCUACGGGAGGCAGCAGUAGGGAAUCUUCCGCAAUGGACGAAAGUCUGACGGAGCAACGCCGCGUGAGUGAUGAAGGUUUUCGGAUCGUAAAGCUCUGUUGUUAGGGAAGAACAAGUGCCGUUCAAAUAGGGCGGCACCUUGACGGUACCUAACCAGAAAGCCACGGCUAACUACGUGCCAGCAGCCGCGGUAAUACGUAGGUGGCAAGCGUUGUCCGGAAUUAUUGGGCGUAAAGGGCUCGCAGGCGGUUUCUUAAGUCUGAUGUGAAAGCCCCCGGCUCAACCGGGGAGGGUCAUUGGAAACUGGGGAACUUGAGUGCAGAAGAGGAGAGUGGAAUUCCACGUGUAGCGGUGAAAUGCGUAGAGAUGUGGAGGAACACCAGUGGCGAAGGCGACUCUCUGGUCUGUAACUGACGCUGAGGAGCGAAAGCGUGGGGAGCGAACAGGAUUAGAUACCCUGGUAGUCCACGCCGUAAACGAUGAGUGCUAAGUGUUAGGGGGUUUCCGCCCCUUAGUGCUGCAGCUAACGCAUUAAGCACUCCGCCUGGGGAGUACGGUCGCAAGACUGAAACUCAAAGGAAUUGACGGGGGCCCGCACAAGCGGUGGAGCAUGUGGUUUAAUUCGAAGCAACGCGAAGAACCUUACCAGGUCUUGACAUCCUCUGACAUCCUAGAGAUAGGACGUCCCCUUCGGGGGCAGAGUGACAGGUGUGCAUGAUUGUCGUCAGCUCGUGUCGUGAGAUGUGGGUAGUCCCGCACGAGCGCACCCUGAUCUAGUGCAGCAUCAGUGGCACUUCUAGUGACUGCGUGACACGAGAGGUGGGGAUGACGUCAUCAUCAUGCCCUAUGACCUGGCCUACCACUGCUACAUGGACGCACAAUGGCACGUACCGAGGAUAGCAAUCCCAAAAUCUGUGUCUCUCUGAGUUCCGGAAUCCGACCAGACUUGA
rnacentral:rRNA from 1 species